CAGCAGGAGGAAUCGCUCCUUUUUCUCAUGAUCGCAGGAAUGAAUCUGGUAUUCAGAUUCACCCCAAGUCACCAGCAGAAACAAGCCAGCUACUUGAGGAAGACUUACUUUUAUGAUGUAAAUGAUUUGAAACAAUAAAGAAUAAAAAAUGACUA